rnacentral:rRNA from 1 species
UACGGAGGGGGCUAGCGUUGUUCGGAAUUACUGGGCGUGAAGCGCACGUAGGCGGCUUUGUAAGUUAGAGGUGAAAGCCCGGGGCUCAACUCCGGAAUUGCCUUUAAGACUGCAUCGCUAGAAUUGUGGAGAGGUAAGUGGAAUUCCGAGUGUAGAGGUGAAAUUCGUAGAUAUUCGGAAGAACACCAGUGGCGAAGGCGACUUACUGGACACAUAUUGACGCUGAGGUGCGAAAGCGUGGGGAGCAAACAGG